GAAGGUUGGCAAAAGCCGGCAAGGGGUGACCGUUGUCCUGCUCUGCCUGAAGGAAGAGAGAGCGAGAGAAAGUAAUGCUUCACCUUCUCCUCUCCGGCCGCCGCUCCUGCUGCAGAGGUGGUGCUUAACGUGCGAUUACAUAGCAGUCAAUUGAGAUCUGACAAACGCUAUUAGACCGAUUCAUGCGCGUUUACUUUGUAGCAGCAAACAAAAACCUCUGCGCUCUCUUGUGCUCAAUGUCGGAUUUAAAUGAAGUGGAAUGUUUUGGUGAGGUCGAGUCAUUAAUCACGGCUCCGCGUUUCUCACCUUGAUAACCAGAUCAAAUCGGCGGUGGAGCUCUCUAUCGACGGGCUUCAGAAGCAGGAGCUCCGCUGUGGUUCUGUUCAGGCUGAAGUAUUCUGCGUAGGUCUCUGGCUUGCCUGAGUGUGAGAGAGAAAAAUGCAACAAGAUGCAAACGGUGGGGCCGCGCAAACAUACAUAUAUGAUGCUUUGGAUUGCUGCAUUGCUCAGCGGGGAAAUCAAGCGAGAGGAGGCGCAUGUACACCAAACAGCGUGAUCCCCCCGCCCCCCCACGGUUAUUGAUGUUUGUGUGAGUGCCUAUAUUCUCCUUAAAGGCAUGUCCUUGCAUCAGAGAAUCACAGCCUGUAUCCUAAAGACCUACUUUGGGAACUUAGCAGCUGUUCUGUAAAACAACACUGCUGUCCAGACUCCAGGGCAAUUAACCAACCACUGGUCAGAUAUUGUUUUUUUUUCCUCGACUGACCCUGAACUGCCCUCAAUUCUUUUCUUUUUUUCAUUCCAUUUUCAAAUUGUUGCAACAGAUUUUGUUUCCUCUCUUAAUCCUCACUCAGAGUUUUAGUUUCACAGCGGGAGCCUGGGAAAUGUAAUCAAGGCUGUGUCAAGUCAUGCCAGCGCAUUUUUUACGGACUAUGCAAAUCCUCUGGGAAUAAAAAGUCAAUGUCAAGAUGUCUCGCAGCGAUGGUGAACUGUAACUGUUAGAAAGCAAUGACUUUCAACUUGAGGUACUUGAAGCAUUAAUGGGUAGAUAAUUCCAUCUUGGCAAUUUUCAAGCAUCUUAUCCCUUUGCAAACCGGCUAUUAGCAUCCCGUUAACAACUACUUUACAUACAUUACUACCCCGCUGAGUUAAUUGUGCACCUAAACAUUUAAGAGCCUGCUUUAAAAACAUGAUCAGUUAAAGGAACCCCGAGACCACAAAUCUGCAUUUGAUGAGAUUUGGCUACGUGAAGGCCUCCAUGAACAGAUGUGCUGGUGUCACUCUAAAUUAAAGUUUGUUGUUGUCAGUCAAUCGUCAGUUAAAUUAUAUUUUCCUUGUGUGGGACCAAUUCGGAUUUAAAAAAAAAAGUUCAAUAUGUAAGAAUUGGCCAACUGUCAAAGUGGCUCUAAGAAAUAGGAGGUAUGUAUGUAUAAGUAUGUUCUUACUAUGUUCUAAAUAUGACCUAUUAUACCAACAAAGCUUACAUAGCAAACAUCUCCCGGCUGAAUAUACGAAGGAUUGUACCAUCAGGCUGUCGACUUUUGAGGUACGCA